rnacentral:lncRNA from 1 species
CAUUUUUACUAUAUUGGGCGUCCGCAAAGAGUAGACCACUUUCCUUUUAUGGAAAUGGUCCCACCACCCACUUUAAUCUUUUAUCCUUACAAACACUCUUUAUUUACAAAAAAAACCCACCCCAAAUUCAAUCUCAACCACACAUCUCAUAAAGUGGUGGGACCCUUUCUCCACUACAUCAAAAUCAUCAACAAUUUUAU